GGCAGCGGCUAAGAAUAUUCCGCAAUGGACGAAAGUCUGACGGAGCGACGCCGCGUGGAUGAUGAAGGCCGGAAGGUUGUAAAAUCCUUUUAUGACUGAGGAAUAAGUGAAGUGAGAGAAACGCUUCUGGUGACUGUAGGUCAUGAAUAAGCAACGGCUAAUUACGUGCCAGCAGCCGCGGUAACACGUAAGUUGCGAGCGUUGUUCGGAAUUAUUGGGCGUAAAGGGUAUGUAGGCGGUUCUGCAAGUCUGGUGUGAAAUGCCGGGGCUCAACCCCGGAACUGCGUUGGAAACUGCAGGACUUGAAUCGCUGAGGGGCAGCCAGAAUUCCAGGUGUAGGGGUGAAAUCUGUAGAUAUCUGGAAGAAUACCAAUGGCGAAGGCAGGCUGCCAGCAGAUGAUUGACGCUGAGGUACGAAGGUGCGGGGAGCAAACAGGAUUAGAUACCCUGGUAGUCCGCACAGUCAACUAUGUACACUGGGUGUCCGCUCAUGAGAGUGGGUGCCGAAGCAAACGCGAUAAGUGUACCGCCUGGGGAGUAUGCCCGCAAGGGUGAAACUCAGAGGAAUUGACGG
rnacentral:rRNA from 1 species